rnacentral:rRNA from 1 species
CGGUUGAUCCUGCCGGACCCCACUGCUAUCGGGGUGGGACUAAAACAUGCAAGUCGAGCGCCUCCCAAGCUAUUGUGGAGGCGCGGCAAACGGCUCAGUAACCCGCGGCCAACCUACCCUUAGGACGGGGAUACCCCCGGGAAACUGGGGCUAAUCCCCGAUAGGUAAGGGCUCCUGGAAUGGGCCCUUACCGAAAAGACGCUGAAUCCAUGCUAUUCAGCGUCGCCUAAGGAUGGGGCCGCGGCCGAUCAGGUUGUUGGUGAGGCAACGGCUCACCAAACCUAUAACCGGUACGGGCCGUGAGAGCGGAAGCCCGGAGAUGGGAACUGAGACAAGGUCCCAGGCCCUACGGGGCGCAGCAGUUGCGAAACCUCCGCAAUGCGCGAAAGCGCGACGGGGCUACCCCGAGUGCCGCCCGUUGAGGGCGGCUUUUCAACGGUGUAAGGAGCCGUAGGAAUAAGGAGAGGGCAAGCCUGGUGUCAGCCGCCGCGGUAAUACCAGCUCUCCGAGUGGUGGGGAUGAUUAUUGGGCUUAAAGCGUUCGUAGCCGGCUUAACAAGUCUUCCGUUAAAUUCAACGAUUUAAUCGUUGGUCUGCGGGAGAUACUGUUAGGCUAGGAGGCGGUAGAAGCCGACGGUAUUCCCGGGGGUAGGGGUGAAAUCCUGUAAUCCCGGGAGGACCACCAGUGGCGAAGGCUGUCGGCUAGAACGCGCUCGACGGUGAGGAACGAAAGCUGGGGGAGCGAACCGGAUUAGAAACCCGGGGAGUCCCAGCCCUAAACGAUGCGGGCUAGGUGUUGAAGUGGCUACGAGCCACUUCAGUGCCGCAGGGAAACCAUUAAGCCCGCCGCCUGGGGAGUACGGCCGCAAGGCUGAAACUUAAAGGAAUUGGCGGGGGAGCAC